GCUACUGUCCCUGCAAAGGACAUCUUGGUGCUCUUGUCACUCAGCUCCUUGGAAGUGCCAAAAUCGGAGAUCUUCACCACAUCGUCGUACGUGAUGAGCAUGCUGCCACCUCCUCCCCAUGGAAGCGCCCCAGGAAGACGGCGCCCUGGGCCCCUGAGCCCACCCACUGCAGGUCCAGGAUUUCCUCAAAGGGGACCUCCCAAAGGGGACACAGUUCGAGCCCCGGUUCGGGAAGAUCCUACAUGCUGCGGAGC